AUGUCGCUCAGGUUCUUUCUCCAUGUGCCAAUCCAGCUCAGCUUGACUGUCAUAGCAAAAAGGGACAAGGACGGUGACUUCAACAACGAUAGGGCGGAAGCCAGUAUGCCUGGACCAACAAGCCGGUGUUCUUUCUUCCCUUCUUUCAUUACGUUGGGAGUGGAUAAUCAACUUUUGUUUUUCUUUUCUAUACCUUCUUAUUUAUGCAUCUUAGUUAGGAAGCUAACUAUGUUUCUUUGCAUCAUCAUGGAAUAUUUUUUGCAGGAUUUGCAGACAUUUGCUAAGCUUAAAUACGUGAAUAUGGACAUGUAG
rnacentral:rRNA from 1 species